rnacentral:rRNA from 1 species
UACGUAGGGUGCGAGCGUUGUCCGGAAUUAUUGGGCGUAAAGGGCUCGUAGGCGGUUUGUCGCGUCGGGAGUGAAAACACCGGGCUUAACUCGGUGCUUGCUUUCGAUACGGGCAGACUAGAGGUAUGGCAGGGGAGAACGGAAUUCCUGGUGUAGCGGUGAAAUGCGCAGAUAUCAGGAGGAACACCGGUGGCGAAGGCGGUUCUCUGGGCAUUACCUGACGCUGAGGAGCGAAAGUGUGGGGAGCGAACAGG